GAUAUGUCAAUGUUUGCAUAGAAACGAAUGAGUGCCCUGAUAAUGAAUGCCGUGUCUCUAUCAUCCAACUGAAGUAAACAUGAAAAUAUCAGUCUGAACCAUGCUCCUAUUAAUUCACCCCUGUAUAAUAUCAUAAGGACACGGCAGAACACGAACCAUAGGAUCCAGGCGGCUGUGGUCCAAGCGAUAGCUGGACGUAGACGAGCUUCUGUCAGCUAUGACAACAGACACAGAACCAAGUAGCAGUUCCUCACCAAGUCAAUCAACUGCGACUCUCUCCCUUCAAGAUAAUGAAGACCGGUGAAUACAGUGAAAAUUGAGCUGAAGAGGCCCUCCUUCGUAACACAGACUGCCGGAAUGAACACGUAGUUUGUUGUAACCAUCAGAUCAGACAACAGAUGUUGCUGAAAUUGUUUUUAUUGUUGUUGUGGAAGAUAAGUUAAAAAGAAGAAUGUGUGUUUUUCCAUUUAACAAGAUUGCUGUUCUGGAAUUAAAACAACGUAUCUUUAAGGUACACCCUGACUGAAUAAAAGGUGGCACGAGGUGUGGUACCAGCACAGAGAGUUUAAUUUUAAUUAGAUAUUUAUCUAUUAACAGGAGUAUGUUUUUAUCUACGGUUAUAUGCUUUGGUAAUGUUUGGCCAAAUACUACUGUUGGAAAUGCACCAUCACAUAACUAAUAUGUAUAUAAAAAUAAAGUUUCAUGCAAAAAUUUAGGUCUUCAGAGAUCAAAUCCUUCUCGUGAUAGCAACAAUUUUUUCAUUAGAUUGGGUUUUAUAGUGAUUAUGGUAAUUAGUACAAGUUUUAGUAACGAAGUUACCAAAAGAUUAUGUUGCAUAUUUUAUGGUAGCAAAGCUACAUCUGCUGUUAUACCGCACGUUAAAUCCCAUAUGACUGUUCUCAGUAUGUUUACUUACGCAUUCAUCUAUUCUGCUUGUAUUCGUUGUAGUCUUGGAUAUUGAUAAGAUCAAUGUAAAAAUAUUUACUAACGAUCAGCUAAAUCCUGUUGAGUGACACACAGCAUCAUCAAACUGAGUGUCACCUAUAUAAAAAUAAAGGGUUAUGGGAAAUUCCAAGUAUAUACUUGAAACUUUGCUCAACUGGCCAGAGCAGUUUGAUUUUCUAGGUAUCUAUACAAAAUUAAAUUUCUACCCCCUUGAGUGAUUGAUAACGUUAACACUCAGCCGAGCAUUGUUUUACCACAUUUUGAACCAUAUUACAUGUACUAUGCAGCGGUAUUUGUAACUAAGUCACUCAGUUAUAUCGAUUAUAAACCACAUCUAGAGGCACUGUAAUUGACACCGUUAGACCACUGGAAAAUGCCUGUUUACCUGAAAUGUUUAAUGUUUGAUCUCUCAAAAAAUAUCUAAAACCUCCUUAACAAUAGUAGUUUUGUCCAUGAAAAUGUCCCUUCAAAUCCCGAUAUUUCCAGCACCGCUUGUCAUAGCUUGAAUCUAAUUUAACGGGGGGUUCAAAAAUGUCAACUGGUUUUUUUCGUAUUUUCGAGCAAUAAUAUUUUUCAAACGAUAUAUAGUAUCUUACAAUAAUAAUAUUUUAUUCACAUUUUUUUAAGAUAUGAAAAAGUUACAGCUCAAUGUGACCCACGAAUGAAAUUUCUCUAGUCGCAUACCCACCUUUUACUCUCUCAGGGGAACUCCUUGUCCAUUCGGCAGAAAAUCUUAAUAGGUAGAAAGUAAUGCAGGGAACCACGCUUAGAAAAGAUUGCCCCAACCGAAAUAGAAAGGUUUAAACGCCACCAUUACGUUUGGGCUGAAUCUUCCGAAGUUUGGUUUACUUUGUUUGCUGUAACUUUUUCUUAUAAGUUUUUAUAACAAAUAGGAAAGUAAAGUGGACAUCAGCUCGGAAACCUCAAGUUAAUUUUCGCCGGUAUUUGUAUUUAACAGAAAAUUCAAAAAUAAUAUUUCUACUUGAUUACGCAUAUAAUAAUAAUAAUAAUUUUUAUUUUCCAUUCGUUAAUUUACAUGAAUAUAACAUAAUAUGUCCUUGGAAAUAACUGACCACAGUUACAAGUAUGUGUGGCCAGUGAGAAUUAUUAAAUAUAAACAAAUUUACAACAUCCUUAAACUAAUUAUAUAAAUACACAGUACAAAAAUGAUAAAUGAGUCCAGUCUCGAUACAUCCAAAGACACUCUCUGUGGCGCUUGGUUUACUUAUAAAAUAAAUAAUAUAUGUACAGAUUAUAUUCCUAUAAUAGGUGGUACUGCAGUUCAACUUAACAUUUCUCACAUAGUAUACGUACUUAUACUUACAAUUUUUAGAAGAAAAAUAAAACAACAGACGAGAAAAAAAAUUAAACUAGUUUCGACAUAUGUACAGAAUUUAUACCAAGCAAACAUUCAUAAAGUCUACAUCUUGUUUUAAAAAUAACCACUCUUUUAAUUUUCCGGAAAAUAUUUUUAAGUUUAAUACAACUUUUUACCUCAUGUGGUAAUUGAUUAAAGUAUUUAGGCCCUAUAUAUUGGAAAGAUUGUUUAAAAAAUACUUUUUGUAACUUUUGGAAGUUUGAAUAUUCUAUUUGAUCCACUUCUUGUAUUGUGCAUUAAAUUUGUUGUUCCAGUGUUUCCACUUUUAAGAUAAAAUAUUCUUAAGACUUUGUAAAUAAAUAGAUGUUGAACAGGAAGUAUCUUUACUGUAUAUUAAAGUAAUUGUUAUCUAUUCACAGUUCAAACUAGUUUCAUACAUCACAAACGUGUUCGUUGCGCUUGGAAGUGAACUCAUCCAAGCCUGUGCACUGAUAAUGUGUAGUAUUAUUUCAUAAAAGGACACUCCUGCUUGCUCUUCGUGACCACGCUGUCUUCUCACACGGUUAGAUGGUAGAUUCGGUUUUUAUUCUUUGAAAUUAUACAUACACCCUUUGUAAAACUGGUCCAUUACACUGUACUACCGGUAAACCUUUCCUUCAUUCUCUUUUUUUUAUUACAUUCCAACGGCAAACAAGCGAAAGUACAAGCGGGUAGUAUACAUAUAUAAAUAUUUAAAUAUCAACUGAAAGAAAGAAACAUUGAGUUAAAUAACAAUAAAGUUGACAGUGAUAACAAUCUAACAAAAACAACAACAUAAAUGAUUAAAUAUAACAAUUAAUAAUACAAGUAAAUAGUAACAACAAACGGCAUAAUACAUAACAACAAAGCAGUAAACUAUUCAGGAACACAACAAUCAAUAUGAGGGCUAACAAGCAUAACAAUGAAAUAAAUUACCAUACAACAUGUGAAGAUUAGAAAUUGUGUAUCUACACAAGACCGCGGAGGGAUGCCAGCAUUCUUCCCCGGAUGGUCGAAGCACUGUCGUGAAAAAGAUCGACGAGGUGGCAGAAGUUAUUUCCCAGUCUCAUUGUUCGGGCGAGGGGACCAUGAAAAUCCUUAGUAUGUAAUUUACGAGCUUUGAAAAUGUAUAUACUUUGAAUCGGGUCCCUAAUCAUUAAAAUUAGGUUUAGCCUAAAUUAUUUUCAACAAUUAGUCAUUAUAGCACGCUAGGUGUGACUCAUUUAUCAAUUGUAAAAUACAGAAAAAUCUGCAUUGGAGAGGUUAAGAUGUCGGCUAGAGUUUUUUAUCGUUGGAAACGUUGCUGCAUAGAAGCCUUAGAUUAAAUGGUAUGGAGUAAGCAUGUAGGAACUGGCUACCAGACCAACAUGGCGGUAUAUCCUGCAUUCUUCGCAAGCAGCUAGCAAGCGUUUAACAGCGGUAAUGUGGAGGUUUUAUAUUUAAUAAACUCUGGUUUUGUAGUAUGUGCCAGCGUAUUCAUUUCAAUUUUAAAUAUCUAUUGAAUACUAAGAUUUAUAACCACAGAUUAUGUAGAAUAAUAAACAAGGUUGGUAACUAGAAGUACAGUAAGCGAUCGAAGAAAGGAGAGCAAUGCAUAUAAAGAACGAUCCGAAUCAAAAGGUAAGGUAAUAGUAAGAAAAAAACUUAUGUUUUCCUUUUAAUAGUAGCCUAACUAACUAAAUAAAAUUACCAUCCUGGUCCGGUACUUAAACUGUGACUACAAUCACGUUUAAUAAAAGUAAAGAA